GGGGGUGAUUGGUGUUGACAGGGGAGUGGUUGGCCUGAGUUGCGAGCCGAGGUUGGUCGGUUGGCCUCGUAAAAAGCCGUCCAAAACAUAAACGCGAAUAACAAUUACGCACUCGCUGCCUAAGAGCAGCGCAUUCGCCCGUUCUGAGUCGGUGUGAACGGAUCCGAGUGUAACUAGAACCGACUUGCUCGACAAACUAAGUCCGGCAGUUGUCGAGGACCCCCUUACGGACUAAGGCUGAAGUAUCCCGCCCGCAGGAGACCGAAGCCCGAAAAUUAAAAUGCAGGAUAUGCUCGUAGACGCUCUUGUUUGCCCUCUCUUGGACCCGGGUUCGAGUCCCGGCACCUCCACAG
rnacentral:tmRNA from 1 species